rnacentral:rRNA from 1 species
GCACAACGCGAAGAACCUUACCUGGUCUUGACAUAGUAAGAACUUUCCAGAGAUGGAUUGGUGCCUUCGGGAACUUACAUACAGGUGCUGCAUGGCUGUCGUCAGCUCGUGUUGUGAAAUGUUGGGUUAAGUCCCGCAACGAGCGCAACCCGUUAUCCUUUGUUGCCAGCACGUAAUGGUGGGAACUCAAAGGAGACUGCCGGUGAUAAACCGGAGGAAGGUGGGGAUGACGUCAAGUCAUCAUGGCCCUUACGAGUAGGGCUACACACGUGCUACAAUGGCAUAUACAAAGAGAAGCGAACUCGCGAGAGCAAGCGGACCUCAUAAAGUAUGUCGUAGUCCGGAUUGGAGUCUGCAACUCGACUCCAUGAAGUCGGAAUCGCUAGUAAUCGUAGAUCAGCAUGCCG